rnacentral:rRNA from 1 species
AACGAACGCUGGCGGCAUGCCUAACACAUGCAAGUCGAACGAGACCAUCGGGUCCAGUGGCGCACGGGUGCGUAACGCGUCGGAACCUGCCCUUAGGUUCGGAAUAACUCUCAGAAAGGGGUGCUAAUACCGGAUAAUGUCUUCGGACCAAAGAUUUAUCGCCUUUGGAUGGGCCCGCGUUGGAUUAGCUAGUUGGUAGGGUAAAAGCCUACCAAGGCGACGAUCCAUAGCUGGUCUGAGAGGAUGAUCAGCCACACUGGGACUGAGACACGGCCCAGACUCCUACGGGAGGCAGCAGUGGGGAAUAUUGGACAAUGGGCGAAAGCCUGAUCCAGCAAUGCCGCGUGAGUGAUGAAGGCCUUAGGGUUGUAAAGCUCUUUUACCCGGGAUGAUAAUGACAGUACCGGGAGAAUAAGCUCCGGCUAACUCCGUG